GGCUGAUUGGUCUAGUGGUAUGACAGAUUCGUCUCGUCUGUUUGCUCCCCUCCAGCAGGACUGGAGGGGAGGAAGCAGAGCCUGAUUCUAGCCCAGGUUCGAUUCCUGGAUCGGCCA
rnacentral:tRNA from 1 species